GUAGUCCUUGCUGUAAACGAUGUAUACUAGGUGUAACUGGAUUCAACCCUGGUUGUGCCGUAGCCAACGCGUUAAGUAUACCGCCUGGGAAGUACACUCGCAAGGGUGAAACUCAAAAGAAUUGACGGGGACCCGCACAAGCAGUGGAGCAUGUGGUUUAAUUCGAUGCAACGCGAAGAACCUUACCCAGGCUUGACAUACAGAGGACCGCAUCAGAGAUGGUGCCUCCCUUCGGGGCCUCUGAACAGGUGCUGCAUGGCUGUCGUCAGCUCGUGCCGUGAGGUGUUGGGUUAAGUCCCGCAACGAGCGCAACCCUUGUCAUUAUUUGCCAACACGUGAUGGUGGGAACUUUAAUGAGACUGCCUAGGUCAACUAGGA
rnacentral:rRNA from 1 species